AAAGCUUAAUAUAAUGUCCAAAUAUGUAUUUUCAUCGGAUAAAUAAGUAUUGCAAUAUUUUGUUUCAUAUGAUACUAGACUUGGAUAGCUCGUAGAAUAAAUUUCCACUCGAUUUGGUUUGUACUGCAUUCUAGAAGUUUCUAAAAUGGUUAAUGGUAUGUAAUUUUCCUGUUUUUUCUUUUUCGUCGUAUAUCUCAAAGGAAACCAGCGCCGAUUAAAAAACCUCAUAACAAAAGAAUGCAUAAUGAGACAAGACUAAACUAGAACGCAGUUACUAUCGCUUAUUUCCAGUUAUUUCCUGCAUUUAAGUUAGGUAUAAUAAUACCGUUGCUUUUUUUAGAAUACCAUGUAAUCGUAAAAUUCAUGAGUUCCUGUCAGUCUUUUUGUAAAAAUGACGCGCUCGAUCAUUCCUGUACUUAAUUAUAGGGAAUGAGAUAAACCCAUCGCGAUCUAUUUGUGCGUUACGUGGAUGUAUGAAAGUGUGCCUGCCAAAAUGUGGUGUUGCCAACUAUAAGAAGGAUAGAAAAUUCAUAAGAUUACAUAAUUGCGUUCCAAAGGAAAAUAGCUUCAUUUUCUACGUAAAUUCUUUAAUUGCCAAUCUAAGCAAUAUUUAUAAUUCUAAAAGCAUAUUUUUUUUAAGAAUAAUCUUAUACUUUAUUUAAUCUCUAGUAUAUUAUCUAUACUUACUAUCCAAUCUUAUAUCACUAUUCUAUUUAAAUUAUUAUUAAACGUAUUUCUGUAACAAACAUAUUUGUAUGCUAACAAAAAAUACGACCGAUUCAGAAUAUUUAAGAAUAAUUGAAAAGUCGUGAAUUGCGAUCACACGUGAUGUUACAUUAAACAAAUGGGACAGCUUAAUCCCUGCAAUAAAUCGAUAGAAUCACAAUGAAUGGAACAACGGAACGUAUGAAAUGGAGAUUAAAAUAAAUUGUACAGCAGCUAAUUCAAAGUCCUCAUCAUGAUUAAGAUCACAUCAAAGUGCAAUCCCGCACUUGGAUCAGAUUUAGCAAUUGCACUCAUGAAAAUGUAAUCAACUGUAUACAUAAUUGAUACGCGUGACUGGUGCCGGGUGAAGGCAAAAUACAUACCGUAUAAAAAUGCUAAUGUCUUAAGAUGUUUCUUUUUUAAUGCGACAGAAUAUUCUAAAGUGGCUGACACUAGUUGAAGAGAAAAAGUUCAAAGAUUCGCAAUUAAUUCAACGCAUUCCAAACACUUGAAGGCGGGAAUUCAGGUUCAUGAACGUGCGACUCUUAUCGAGGCCUGAAAGUGCGAUGUCGCCCUAUUUUACACGCCAUUGUUCGACGUCUUUCAUACAAAAUGAGCUUUAAAAGAGGCAAAAUCACCGGAAGGAUCUUGUCUUCGAGUCUUUGUACGCAUACAAUAUACAAUUGAAUGAAAAGCAUAUUUCAUAUCUUCGCCAACAAGUCAUAUAUUUGUGCGACUCUAUAUGGACUUUAAAAUCUUAGACAAUAUUUAUAUCUUCUUUUUUAAAAGAAAGAAUAUUUCACAAUAAUACAAAGCUUAUGUUACUCAUAAAUAUAUUUUUUCUGUCUUCAGUUUUUCAGGAAGAUGCAUGUUUAUUUCAUGUCUGCCUGAACAAGAGAAUGACAUCAAUCUUUUUUGCUACAAAGUAAUUAAAUUCCAGUAUAUUUCGGGAUGGAGACCUUCGAGUUUAUACGUUUAUUGUAUCACUGUUAUCAGACAAGACAAAUGUCUUUUUUCUUGUUUACGAUAUCCGCGCAGCUGCUGGCUUAAUGUGCACGCGCGAAUACUCGCGCUACUUCGCCUUAAUAACGUAACAUAAAUCAUUACACAAAUAUAUACCGAGUUCAGAUAUAUUCGUUGUUACAGAAUUAACGAACAUCGUUAGAGGAAAAUGAAACGAGAGAGGAACUGCCAGUAUAAAUACCUAGUAUUGUGGUGAACAGUAAAUGUCCACUGAUUUCCUUCCCAUACCACAGCUAUCGAUCCUUGCGGGAUUUAUUAUUCGACACGUGUGACUCCUUGACCAGUCAAAUUUAGAUAAAAUGUACAAUUGGUAUUCACUGAAUGUCCGGUUACAUAAUUUAACACUGAUUAUUGUUUCUCACCAUUGAUUCAAUUUUACAUAGGAAAAAAUUAUUAAGAAAUGAUAAAUAUAAAUAAAAUGUAAUUAAAAAGUAGAAAGAAUGAAAAUAUUCAAAUACACUUUCAUUUUAGAUUAAUCAGAUACUUGCAUUAAAGUGUUUUGUAGCAUUGACCACAUGGAAAAGCAAGUUUACCGAGGAUGAAAAGGUUUUUUACUUAAAAAUUGUACUAAGCACUUGAAUGAAGAACACUUGUUGAAUCUAGUCCGAUGGUAAUUUAUUAAAAUUCUGUUUUUACACAAAAACAUCGUUUUUCUAUGGAACUAACAACGCGUGAAUAGCAGUAUGAAUAACUUAACAAUUUAGA